AUACGUAGGGGGCGAGCGUUGUCCGGAAUGAUUGGGCGUAAAGGGCGCGUAGGCGGCCCGGUAAGUCUGGAGUGAAAGUCCUGUUUUUAAGAUGGGAAUUGCUUUGGAUACUGUCGGGCUUGAGUGCAGGAGAGGUAAGUGGAAUUCCCAGUGUAGCGGUGUAAUGCGUAGAGAUUGGGAGGAACACCAGUGGCGAAGGCGACUUACUGGACUGUAACUGACGCUGAGGCGCGAAAGUGUGGGGAGCAAACAGGAUUAGAUACCCUGGUAGUCCACACUGUAAACGAUGAAUGCUAGGUGUAAGAGGUAUCGACCCCUUUUGUGCCGGAGUCAACACAAUAAGCAUUCCGCCUGGGGAGUACGGCCGCAAGGUUGAAACUCAAAUGAAUUGGCGGGG
rnacentral:rRNA from 1 species